rnacentral:RNase_P_RNA from 1 species
GAGGAAGGUCCGGACUCCAUAGAGCAGGGUGACGGUUAACGGCCGUCCGCCGCGAGGCGAGGAAUAGGGCCACAGAGACGAGCGUAUUAAGUUACGGUGAAACGCGGUAACCUCCACCUGGAGCAAUUUCAAAUAGGCACGCGUUGACGUUGCUCGCGGAGCGUGCGGGUAGAAAGCUUGAGCCGUGGAGUAAUUCACGGCCUAGAGGAAUGGUUGUCAUAGCAAAUGGGCUUGCUCAUUUGCCGUAACAGAAUCCGGCCUA